UUUAUUUAAUUCUUAAUGCCUUUUGUUCUUUUGCAUUUCUUGUUUUAGGGUUUUGGGUGGGGGUGGUUGGACUAUGGAAGCUAACAGGAAAGAAUAUUAGGAGCCUUUAACUUUAAUGUGGUUGCUCAGUUUUAUUUCAUUGUUUUGUUUCUUGUUUACGGCUAUAUUUAAUUACUAGGUUAGCUUAAUUAUGACUAGUGUUCACUAAACAGAAUACUUUAAACCCGACAUGUGAAAAAUCGUGCUUCAUUUUCUUUUUUGCAGAUGAAACUUGCAGACAAUUUGGAUAUUCCUGCUGCGGUUGAAGUGAAGCCCCAAAGCCUGGGGAGCCCUGGGGCACUGAAGCCCCCCCCCCCCAAAAAAAAUAUGUUGGUGGAACUAAUAGGAGAAAGGAUAGAAUCCCUCAGGGCUAGAAGGGACCUUGAAGGUCUUCCCCCAAUCUUUUUUUUUGUUGAAAAUCUGGAGCCUACAUUAAGAAUUAUCUUCAUUAUCAUUGUUAAGAAGACAAUGUACCAGUCAGUUAUAUUUGAUUCUUUUCCUCUUCUUCAAUCCCCAGGAAAAGGUGUCUGCAAGUGUCACCAGAGAAACAAAAUGAAGAUGUGGAGGCUGAUAUCAUCACGGUGGAACCGUACAUACCGGAACCCAUCUACCCCAACAUCACCUUAAUUGAUGAGCGAAGGAUGUCCGAUGUUCUGCUUUGCAUGACAAUAUGAUGGUUGGACAAAUUGUGACCAUGGGUGAAAUUCCUGCCAUCACAUUGUUGACCCAGGGCUGAAAGUCUGACAUUGUCUUCCAUCAAUUAUGGUGAUGUUGGGAUCGAUGGAUUCCGGUAUGGAGGUUCCACAGUGAUGGAGGCCUCCUCCUCAUCUUCAGCUGGUGGUUCUGGUGACGCUUGCAACACCUUCAUGGCAGAGGCCAAACAACACAUAGAUUCCAAAGAUGACCAAAGUCAUUUUCCAGGGUCUCCAAGGAAGUUCUGAGGGCUCUCACUGGAUGGCCACAUGAGUUCAGUCUCUUCCAUUUUGGAACAGAAAUGAACGGAUUAAAAAAUGAUCUUGAAGGGCAUUCCAAAUCCAGAUGUAGAUUUACAUUACAAAAUAAAUUCAAAAGAAUCAAAUCAACUUUACAAAAGCAUUUCCUCUUCAGUUCUUUCCUCUUUGCACCUUCUGACAAGUUAUGGGGACCCCUGGAUGGCAACUUUGUUUGUCCUUGGGGGUCUGUGUCUUCAUUGACCUCUGCAUAUUUGUUCACCUGUGCAAGUAAGUUGCUCCUGAUCAGGGGAGUGGCAUCACCACAACCUGGGGAGCCCUGGGGCACUGAAAGCCCCCCAAAAUGUUGGUGGAACUAACAGGAGAAAGUAUAGACUCCCUCAGAGCUGGAAAGGACCUUGAAGGUCUUCUACUCCCACUCCAAAUCUUUUCUUGAAAAUCUGGAGCCCCCAUUAAGAAUUAUCUUUAUUAUCAUUGUUAAGAAAACAGUGUACCAGUCAGUUAUAUUUGAUUCUUUUCCUCUUCUUCAAUCCACAGAAAAAGGUGUCUGCAGUGUCACCAGAGAAACAAAACGAAGAUGUGACGGUUGAUAUCAUCACUGUGGAACCGUACAUACCGGAACCCAUCUACCCCAACAUCCCCAUCAUUGAUGAGUGAAGGAUGUCAGACGUUCUACGUUGCACGACAAUGUGAUGGAUGGAUGAAUAGCUGCAGUGGGUGAAAUCCCAAAACAACUGGAGCCCAAUUUGGACCCCAUCGGCAUUGACAAUCUCACCAUCAGUCAGUUGCCAAAGGCCGCCUUCCUUGGAAGAGCUGACAUCCAGUCUGAACAUCUAGCUGACUGUGUGAAGAACCACAAUCCCCCCUCCCCCAUGAGGCAGGACCUUGACAUGGUUGUGGGGCUUGUGUGCUCUGAGGAAGAUUAGGGCUACACCUCAGGUUCAAUCAUACUGAACAGGACUCAUGAGAGGAAUCGGACAAAGAGUGUCUCUCCC